CGCAACGGAUAAAAGCUACCCUGGGGAUAACAGGCUUAGCUCCCCCAAGAGUCCACAUCGACGGGGAGGUUUGGCACCUCGAUGUCGGCUCAUCGCAUCCUGGGGCUGUAGUCGGUCCCAAGGGUUGGGCUGUUCGCCCAUUAAAGCGGUACGCGAGCUGGGUUCAGAACGUCGUGAGACAGUUCGGUCCCUAUCCGUCGCGGGCGUAGGAAAUUUGAGAGGACCUGUCCUUAGUACGAGAGGACCGGGAUGGACAUACCGCUGGUGUACCAGUUGUUCCGCCAGGAGCACCGCUGGGUAGCUAUGUAUGGACGAGAUAAACGCUGAAAGCAUCUAAGUGUGAAACUCGCCUCGAGAUGAGAUUUCCCAUUUCCUUCGGGAAAGUAAGACCCCUCAGAGAUGAUGAGGUAGAUAGGAUGGAAGUGGAAGUGCCGUGAGGCAUGGAGCGGACCAUUACUAAUCGGUCGAGGACUUAACCAAG
rnacentral:rRNA from 2 species